AUAAUAAUGCUCAUCAUCAUCCUCAUCAUAAUCCUCAUCAUCAUCAUAAUAACGCUCAUCAUCAUCCUGUUGCUCAUUCGAGACCAAGCUUGGAGUUAUUGCUGCUGAUGCUUUUGCAUCAUUGCAAUUCCACACGGACAUUACCUGCUUAUAUUCGGUGGAAUACUCAAAACCAUUAUUGACGCACCCCCACACCCAUAAAAAAAAGUUCCGGGAACUUAAAUCCCAGCACACCUGCGUGCUCAUCACUGUCAAGAAAGCGCUCAACCGCUCCUUGAAUACCUCUUCUGUGAUCAUGGUUGCAGGGUUAGGGCUUACGUUUCUCCCUCCAACAAUUCUUAUGAAAGAGCUGAGUCGGAGCAAUAUAAUGCAAGUGAAGGUGGUUGUCAAAUACUCAAAUACAUGAGCGUCCAAGGCUUGCAAUUUGAGUGGGAGUGAGAGAUAGAGAAAGACUGCGUGAAACCAGCAGGGCGGGAGUAUAAUACGAACCUUAGCUCUCAUGUCCUAAAUAUAUACUUUUCAGGAAAAAAAAAAUAAAAAAAGGCACGCGCAUACAUAGUGUAUAUAGUUUUACACGCACAUUGCACACGCGUGUAUAUGUAUAUAUAUAUAUAACAUUUAUGAUUUAGCAUCUUAUAAUAAAGUAGCAAUGUUUGGAUUUAAUUUGUGUGUAUUUUAAAAUAUGUUAUAAAAUAAAUUAGAGAUGGAAUGUUUUAAUA